UACGUAGGGGGCAAGCGUUGUCCGGAAUCAUUGGGCGUAAAGCGCGCGUAGGCGGCCCGGUAAGUCCGUUGUGAAAGUCAAAGGCUCAACCUUUGAACGCCGAUGGAUACUGCCGGGCUAGAGUCCGGAAGAGGCGAGUGGAAUUCCUGGUGUAGCGGUGAAAUGCGCAGAUAUCGGGAGGAACACCAGUAGCGAAGGCGGCUCGCUGGGCCAUUCCUGACGCUGAGACGCGAAAGCUAGGGGAGCGAACAGG
rnacentral:rRNA from 1 species